rnacentral:lncRNA from 1 species
CCGACUGCUCCGAUAGAAUUCCCAAACGUCAGAGAGACGGAGAAGAGAUUGAAACCUCCACUUGUGCUGUCUUCAUGCGAUUCCUUUUUCUCCCUCCACGAAUAAUAUCUCGCAAAUCCCAACGGUGGAAGCGUGCGAAAUUGAAUUUCGAACAACAUAUCCAAAUUUCACAAUAAUCCAACGGUUAACGAAACCGGGAUCGUAGUUUUACCAAGACAGCUCUGGGUUUCUGCGGGAAAGAAAAAGGCUACAAUGCGAAGGGUGUUUCUCUCAGUUCAGACAUGAUAUC